GAUGAACGCUGGCGGCGUGCCUAAUACAUGCAAGUCGAGCGAACACACGAGGACCUUCCUCCUCUGACGUUAGCGGCGGGCGGGUGAAUAACACGGGGAUAACCUACCUAUAAGACUGGAAUCACUUCGGGGAACCGUUGCUAAUACAGGCUAAUUACUUGAACCACCUGGUUACAUAGUGAAAUCGCGUUUUGCUGUCACUUAUAGAUGGAUUCGCGCCGGAUUAGCUAGUUGGUAAGGUAACGGCUUACCAAGGCAACGAUCCGUAGCUGACCUGAGAGGGUGAUCGGCCAAACUGGAACUGAGACACGGUCCAGACUCCUACGGGAGGCAGCAGUAGGGAAUUUUCCGCAAUGGGCGAAAGCCUGACGGAGCAACGCCGCGUGAGUGAUGAAGGUCUUCGGAUCGUAAAACUCUGUUAUUAGGGAAGAAAAAAUGUGUAAGUAACUAUGCACGUCUUGACGGUACCUAAUCAGAAAGCCACGGCUAACUACGUG
rnacentral:rRNA from 1 species